rnacentral:rRNA from 1 species
CCCUUUGUCUACUUGACCCAUCGUUGCUUCGGCGGGCCCGUCUCACGACCGCCGGGGGACCGUCACACGUCCCCUGGCCCGCGCCCGUCGGUGGCCAACCUUAACAAACUCUGUAACAAUCGUGUCUUGUCUGAGUCUAAUUUUUAAUUAAAACAAAACUUUCAACAACGGAUCUCUUGGUUCUGGCAUCGAUGAAGAACGCAGCGAAAUGCGAUAAGUAAUGCGAAUUGCAGAAUUCCAGUGAGUCAUCGAAUCUUUGAACGCACAUUGCGCCCUUUGGUAUUCCGAAGGGCAUGCCUGUUCGAGCGUCAUUAUCACCCCUCAAGCCCCCGGCUUGGUGUUGGACGGUCUGGUUUCGGUCCCCGAAACCCCUCCUAAAGUUAAUGACGGCGGUGUGUGAGCCCCCGGUACACUGAGCUUCUUUACUGAGCACGUAUCGGUUCUAGGGCCGCAGACCCCCGGUCUUCUUCCCUCACGGGAAAUUUUUUUCAGGUUGACCUCGGAUCAGGUAGGGAUACCCGCUGAACUUAAGCAUAUCA